CCUGGUUGAUUCUGCCAGUAGUCAUAUGCUUGUCUUAAAGAUUAAGCCAUGCAUGUCUAAGUAUAAGCAAUUAUACAGCGAAACUGCGAAUGGCUCAUUAAAUCAGUUAUCGUUUAUUUGAUAGUACCUUACUACAUGGAUAACCGUGGUAAUUCUAGAGCUAAUACAUGCUAAAACCCCGACUUCGGGUGUAUUUAUUAGAUUAAAACCAAUGCCCUUCGGGGCUCACUGGUGAUUCAUGAUAACUCGAAUCGCACGGCCUUGCGCCGGCGAUGGUUCAUUCAAAUUUCUGCCCUAUCAACUUUCGACGGCUGGUCUUGGCCAGCCGUGGUGACAACGGGUAACGGAGGGUUAGGGCUCGACCUCGGAGAAAACGCCUGAGAAACGGCGUUUACAUCCCAAGGAAGGCAGCAGGCGCGCAAUUACCCAAUGCCGACACGGCGAGGUAGUGACGAGAAAUACUGAUACAGGGCUCUUUUGGUCUUGUAAUUGGAAUGAGUACAAUUUAAAUCUCUUAACGAGGAACAAUUGAGGGCAAGUCUGGUGCCAGCAGCCGCGGUAAUUCCAGCCCAAUAGCGUAUAUUAAAGUUGUUGCUAAAAAGCUCGUAGUUGAACCUUGGGCCUGGCUGGCCGGUCCGCCUCACCGCGUGCACUGGUCCGGCCGGGCCUUUCCUCUGGGAACCGCAUGCCCUUCACUGGGCGUGUCGGGGAACCAGGACUUUACUUUGAAAAAUUAGAGUGUUCAAAGCAGGCCUAUGCUCGAAUACAUUAGCAUGGAAUAAUAGAAUAGGACGUGUGGUUCUAUUUUGUUGGUUUCUAGGACCGCCGUAAUGAUUAAUAGGGACAGUCGGGGCAUCAGUAUUCAAUUGUCAGAGGUGAAAUUCUUGGAUUUAUUGAAGACUAACUACUGCGAAAGCAUUUGCCAAGGAUGUUUUCAUUAAUCAGGAACGAAAGUUAGGGGAUCGAAGACGAUCAGAUACCGUCGUAGUCUUAACCAUAAACUAUGCCGACUAGGAUCGGACGGUAUUUUUUGACCCGUUCGGUUACACGAAAGUACAAGUUUCUGGGUUCUGGGGAGUAUGGUCGAAAGGCUGAAACUUGAAUUGAAACACCAGGUGGAGUGCGGCUUAAUUUGACUCAACACGGGGAAACUCACCAGGUCCAGACGGAUUGACAGAUUGAGAUUUCUUGAUUUUAUGGGUGGUGGUGGCCGUUCUUAGUUGGUGGAGUGAUUUGUCUGCUUAAUUGCGAUAACGACGAGACCUUAACCUGCAAUAGCCCGCGUCGCUUUGCCGGCUUUUGAGGGACUAUCGGCUCAAGUUUGAGGCAAUAACAGGUCUGUGAUGCCCUUAGAUGUUCUGGGCCGCACGCGCGCUACACUGACACAGCCAGCGAGUCUCCUCCUGGCCGAGAGGCCCGGGUAAUCUUGUUAAACUGUGUCGUGCUGAUAGAGCAUUGCAAUUAUUCUUCAACGAGGAAUCCUAGUAAGCGCAAGUCAUCAGCUUGCGUUGACGUCCCUGCCCUUUGUACACACCGCCCGUCGCUACUACCGAUUGAACGGCUCAGUGAGGCCUUCGACUGGUGGGCAACCACCACUCAUGUGCCGGAAAGUUGUACGAACUCGGUCGUUUAGAGGAAGUAAAAGUCGUAACAAGGUCUCCGUUGGUGAACCAGCGGAGG
rnacentral:rRNA from 1 species